rnacentral:rRNA from 1 species
UUUCCGGUUGAUCCUGCCGGACCUGACUGCUAUCGGAUUGAUACUAAGCCAUGCGAGUCUUUGCAGUAAUGCAAGGCAUACGGCUCAGUAACACGUAGUCAACCUACCCUAUGGACGAGAAUAAUCUCGGGAAACUGAGCAUAAUUCUUGAUAGAUCAUAAUGCCUGGAAUGGUUUAUGGUUAAAAUGAUUCGUCGCCAUAGGAUGGGACUGCGGCCUAUCAGCUUGUUGGUGAGGUAAUGGCCCACCAAGGCGAUUACAGGUACGGGCUCUGAGAGGAGAAGCCCGGAGAUGGGUACUGAGACACGGACCCAGGCCCUAUGGGGCGCAGCAGGCGAGAAAACUUUGCAAUGUGCGAAAGCACGACAAGGUUAAUCCGAGUGAUUUCUGCUAAAGAAAUCUUUUGCCAGUCGUAAAACCGCUGGUGAAUAAGGGGUGGGCAAGUUCUGGUGUCAGCCGCCGCGGUAAAACCAGCACCUCAAGUGGUCAGGAUGAUUAUUGGGCCUAAAGCAUCCGUAGCCUGCUUUGUAAGUUUUCGGUUAAAUCCAUGUGCUCAACGCAUGGGCUGCCGAAAAUACUGCAUAGCUAGGGAGUGGGAGAGGUAGACGGUACUCAGUAGGUAGGGGUAAAAUCCUUUGAUCUAUUGAUGACCACCUGUGGCGAAGGCGGUCUACCAGAACACGUUCGACGGUGAGGGAUGAAAGCUGGGGGAGCAAACCGGAUUAGAUACCCGGGUAGUCCCAGCUGUAAACGAUGCAGACUAGAUGAUGCAUUGGCAUAAUAGCCAUUGCAGUGUCUCAGGGAAGCCGUUAAGUCUGCCGCCUGGGAAGUACGUACGCAAGUAUGAAACUUAAAGGAAUUGGCGGGGGAGCACCACAAGGGGUGAAGCCUGCGGUUCAAUUGGAGUCAACGCCGGAA